rnacentral:rRNA from 1 species
GGCUCAGGAUGAACGCUGGCGGCGUGCUUAACACAUGCAAGUCGAACGAAGACAUCUGAGUGCUUGCACUUGGAUGGACUGAGUGGCGGACGGGUGAGUAACGCGUGGGUAACCUGCCUUAUACAGGGGGAUAACAGUUGGAAACGACUGCUAAUACCGCAUAAGCGCACGGUAUCGCAUGAUACAGUGUGAAAAACUCCGGUGGUAUAAGAUGGACCCGCGUCUGAUUAGCUUGUUGGUGAGGUAACGGCCCACCAAGGCGACGAUCAGUAGCCGGCCUGAGAGGGUGAACGGCCACAUUGGGACUGAGACACGGCCCAAACUCCUACGGGAGGCAGCAGUGGGGAAUAUCGCACAAUGGGGGAAACCCUGAUGCAGCGACGCCGCGUGAGUGAUGAAGUAUUUCGGUAUGUAAAACUCUAUCAGCAGGGAAGAUAAUGACGGUACCUGACUAAGAAGCACCGGCUAAAUACGUG